CAGUCGCCGCGGUAAUACGAAGGGGGCUAGCGUUGUUCGGAAUUACUGGGCGUAAAGCGCACGUAGGCGGAUAUUUAAGUCAGGGGUAAAAUCCCAGAGCUCAACUCUGGAACUGCCUUUGAUACUGGGUAUCUUGAGUAUGGAAGAGGUGAGUGGAAUUCCGAGUGUAGAGGUGAAAUUCGUAGAUAUUCGGAGGAACACCAGUGGCGAAGGCGGCUCACUGGUCCAUUACUGACGCUGAGGUGCGAAAGCGUGGGGAGCAAACAGGAUUAGAUACCCCAGUAGUCCCUGUCUCUUAUAC
rnacentral:rRNA from 1 species